rnacentral:tRNA from 5 species
GGGCCCAUAGCUCAGUUGGUUAGAGCAGCGGACUCAUAAUCCGUUGGUCCUAGGUUCGAGUCCUAGUGGGCCCACCA